AUUGAACGCUGGCGGCAGGCCUAACACAUGCAAGUCGAGCGGAUGAAGGGAGCUUGCUCCUGGAUUCAGCGGCGGACGGGUGAGUAAUGCCUAGGAAUCUGCCUGGUAGUGGGGGAUAACGUCCGGAAACGGGCGCUAAUACCGCAUACGUCCUGAGGGAGAAAGUGGGGGAUCUUCGGACCUCACGCUAUCAGAUGAGCCUAGGUCGGAUUAGCUAGUUGGUGGGGUAAAGGCCUACCAAGGCGACGAUCCGUAACUGGUCUGAGAGGAUGAUCAGCCACACUGGAACUGAGACACGGUCCAGACUCCUACGGGAGGCAGCAGUGGGGAAUAUUGGGCAAUGGGCGAAAGCCUGAUCCAGCCAUGCCGCGUGUGUGAAGAAGGUCUUCGGAUUGUAAAGCACUUUUAGUUGGGAGGAAGGGCAGUAAGUUAAUACCUUGCUGUUUUGACGUUACCAACAGAAUAAGCACCGGCUAACUUCGUG
rnacentral:rRNA from 1 species